rnacentral:piRNA from 1 species
UAGGACUGUGAGUACAUCCUGGUAAGCC